UUUUCUAAUAAAAAUACGUUCUGCUCUUUUGUAAUGCUUUAAUGUUGUAGUGCAGUGCAUUUUUCCAUAUUGCUAUAUGAGCAAACUCCCUACAUAUCAAUUAUAUGUUUUUAGACAAAACAUUCUCGUAGUUUCUGAUACUAUGUAUAAAAAAACUAAGCCAAUUUUAUUCUCUGGUAUGUGAAGGCUUCAAGGACUUAUUUGUAGUCAGUACAUGACACAAAACCAAAAGCCUUCGAUUUCAAACUGAUAAUCCAGAUUUCCUUGCUGUUAAUUUACAAAUGAUUGCUUUGUUGAAACAAAGAUAAUACAUAGGAACUAUCCAUGAGCUAAGUCAAAAAUACACAGCCCUGGGGAUGAGACUGGUUUCAAUAUGCAGUACAUACCAAAUUGGCUGUAAGAACUGUGGUGACUCAUGCUCAAGUUAAUAAGGGUCAAAAUCCAUAUAUGAAUUAUAAUUUGAACAAGCUUUCAGACUAGUGACCACCAAACACACACACACACACACACACACACACACACACACAGUGAGAUAAACAAAUAAAGACCUCAGUUUCCUUCAUGUAAUCGGUCAGCCAGCUUGUUUGGUAUUGUGGCCAAUGGACACAAAUUGAAACAGUAGAAAUUCAGGUACAAAAGAACAGAGUGUAGAAACACGGCAAAUCAAAAUUACCAAAGCAACCCAUAGUAACCCCCACAAGGGGAGUUUUCAGAAUGGAAGUAAAUGAGCCAUGAUCAACAUCAUUUCAGCAUCUGUUUCUUGGUCUUUUCUAUUUCCAACAGGAAUUUCCCCAUCACCAAGGAAUCUCCAGGAAUUUUGUCAGUUAAUAGCUGCAGUCUCCAACUUCUGUUUUCAACCAAUGAGCAUGCAGGUUUCUAAACCUGGAUUUUUUGCAUGGAUCGUGGAUCUAAUCUAUGUUCAGGCGCAAGAAGCAUGCAAAGGACCCCACUGUGAUUUACUCUGGGAAUGAGGCAUGUGUAGAACUUUAACGGAAGACUCAUUCAUUGACCAGCCAUGCUAACUUACUCUGUUUUGCUCAUUAUGUCUGUUGCUUCAACUGUUUGUUAAAUUAAUUUGCUAUAUAAUCAUAACCAGCCUUCAGUUUGGUAUAAAUUACAAGUAAGCUCUUUUUGACAGGUGAAAUGAUUUUGCAGGCUAUGUUAUCAAAAUUUUCUCUUGCAAGGAUAGUGUUUUAUGCAUCCCUUGAGUGUCCUAUAAACUUCCAUUAUUAAUGGUGUGUUAGUGGUUAUACUGAUGCGUGAUAGCAUUGAUACGGCAUGCACAGUUAUGGUAUUUUAGGGCUGUAAACCAUUUUAAGCAAUGUGCUUUGUAGGACUAAGUCUAGAUAGUAUAACAUAGCACUGCUAAUUAUAUUGAUCUAAUUAAUCUAAUUAAAUGGCUGCUAGAUAUGUUGUACAUGUCAUUUAUCUAUACUAACACAGUGUAAACCUAUUCUGCUUGUCCGUGCAUUUUAUAUAUAGUGCAGUAUUUUCCUUAAAAGCAUCUUUUAGCAUUUGGCUGCUGUCUGAGUGUGCAUUAUGACAGGUGUAAGAUGUUUUGAGGAAUAGUGAUGGUUUAAAACAAAACCAUGUAAUUAUUUGUUAAAGCCCUAUUAAAAAUAAUAACAUUGCCUUCUCUGAUUUUCA
rnacentral:lncRNA from 1 species